rnacentral:rRNA from 1 species
GAUGAACGCUGGCGGCGUGCUUAACACAUGCAAGUUGAGCGCUGCGCGUACAACAGGCCCUUCGGGGGGAGUUGUAAGGGACUGAGCGGCGGGCGGGUGACCAACCCGUGAGUAACCUGCCUCAUAUAGGAGCAUAACCGUUGAACACAGCUCAGAAUACCGCACAUGCCCACAGCAUAACAUGAUACGGUGUGACACACUCCGGUGGUAUGAGAUGGAGCCGCGUCUGAUUAGCUAGUUGGAGGGGUAACGGCCCACCAAGGUGACGAUCAGUAGCCGGGCUGGGAGGGUGAACGGCCACAUUGGGACUGAGACACGGCCCAGACUCCUACGGGAGGCAGCAGUGGGGAAUAUUGCACAAUGGGGGAAACCCUGAUGCAGCGACGCCGCGUGAAGGAACAAGUAUCUCGGUAUGUAAACUUCUAUCAGCAGGGAAGAAAAUGACGGUACCUGACUAAGAAGCCCCGGCUAACUACGUG